GAAAACCGACUUUUCAAAGACAGCCUGCACCUAUCUAUCCUUCUGCAUAAGUUUCAGUACUGCAGCACCUACUUCAUCUGGGAAUCUCAAUUUCCAGAUUUUCUUCAGCAAGCAAGCUCCAUGAUCUUUAUCAGAAAAAGGGAGAUGCUUCACCAAUGCUCAUCUCAGGUGAUCUAUUCUCAAACUCGGCGAAAUUGGUUCUUCCCCUCCAAUCCAAAUGGCUUCCGCUAGAUGGUGCAUCUUUGGAGUUAUCCUACUCAAGUGCCACUCCAUUCUUGUUGGUGAGAAUCCAUGUUUAUUUACCCAACUGGGACCAACAAGUAUCUGUUGCUGGUUUCCAAUCUGAGAUUUUUCUCAUUGAAUAUGAAUGUGCUCUAUCUUUUAUGUGUGGAUGAGUACAUGAAACCACCAAGCCACCACAAAUUGUCUUCAUUAAAGAUGUUUGUUUCUAGUUAUUGUAAUAGAUAAAGAUGUGUAGAUGAAAACUUUGCUGGAUUCAACCU